AUGCAGAACGCGCAGAGGCCGGUGGCGGGGCAUGGAGGUCGACGACGACGGGGAACGCGGCGGCGCAGCGGAUCCAGGAAGGCGAGAGGCGGGGUCAACGGAGGCGCAGCAGGGGCCAGGCGCGGCGAUAGCUUGCUGGCGAGGGGCGAGGCGGAUGCAGGCAAGCGAGGCAGGGGAACUUGGCACCGGUCGUCAUUGUCCCCGCACACAGAAACAAUGGAGACCGGUGAAGAGGGCUUGGGGAGGUCCGACCACGGAGACGAGCCAGCGAGGACGCGGAUUGGACGAGGCAGCGGCAGAACUUGGCGCGCGAGCGACGCUGGAAUGGAGCAGAGCUUUGGGCGGCUUGGAGCUCCCGGCGAUGAUGGUGAGUGUGUCAAGGCGGGCGAGGCGUGGAUGAAGACCGACUCCACAGCCGCGGGUCCAGGGAGGCACGGCUCCGACGGGCAGGGGCUGGAGACGAGGUACGGAAGGGCGGCUUCCAUGGCCUCCUUUUCGAACACGCAGAGCACGAGAGAGGGAUGA
rnacentral:rRNA from 1 species